rnacentral:ncRNA from 2 species
CGGCAAAAUGACCCCGUAACUUCGGGAGAAGGGGUGCUGCACGCAAGUGCAGCCGCAGUGAAGAGGCUCAGGCGACUGUUUAUCAAAAACACAGGUUUCUGCAAAAUCGUAAGAUGACGUAUAGGGGCUGACGCCUGCCCGGUGCUGGAAGGUUAAGUGGAUGAGUUAGCUUCGGCGAAGCCCAGAAAUGAAGCCCCAGUAAACGGCGGCCGUAACUAUAACGGUCCUAAGGUAGCGAAAUUCCUUGUCGGGUAAGUUCCGACCCGCACGAAAGGCGUAACGAUCUGAGCACUGUCUCAACGAGAGACUCGGUGAAAUUAAAGUACCUGUGAAGAUGCAGGUUACCCGCGACAGGACGGAAAGACCCCAUGGAGCUUUACUAUAGCUUGAUAUUGGGUGUUGACACAACUUGUACAGGAUAGGUCGGAGCCGUAGAAACCGGAACGCUAGUUUCGGUGGAGGCGCUGGUGGGAUACGACCCUUGUUGUGUGAACACUCUAACCCGCGCCACUCAGCGUGGCGGGAGACAGUGUCAGGUGGGUAGUUUGACUGGGGCGGUCGCCUCCCAAAAAGUAACGGAGGCGCCCAAAGGUUCCCUCAGAAUGGUUGGAAAUCAUUCGUAGAGUGUAAAGGCACAAGGGAGCUUGACUGCGAGACAGACAGGUCGAGCAGGGACGAAAGUCGGGCUUAGUGAUCCGGCGGUACCGUAUGGAAGGGCCGUCGCUCAACGGAUAAAAGCUACCCUGGGGAUAACAGGCUUAUCUCCCCCAAGAGUCCACAUCGACGGGGAGGUUUGGCACCUCGAUGUCGGCUCAUCGCAUCCUGGGGCUGUAGUCGGUCCCAAGGGUUGGGCUGUUCGCCCAUUAAAGCGGUACGCGAGCUGGGUUCAGAA